rnacentral:piRNA from 1 species
UAAAAAGAUGAUUUACAAAUGGCCAAGCCAAU